rnacentral:rRNA from 1 species
CACCGCGGUUAUACGAGAGACCCAAGUUGUUAGGCAUCGGCGUAAAGGGUGGUUAAGGCAAUACCCAAACUAAAGCCGAACAUCUUCCAAGCCGUCAUACGCACACGAAGACAAGAAGCCCGAUAACGAAAGUGGCUCUAACCUGCCUGAACCCACGAAAGCUAUGACA